UGGAAUAUAGCUCAGCAGGAUAGAGCAUCCGCUUUCUAAGCGUACGGUCAUGAGUUCGAGUCUCGUUAUUCCAG
rnacentral:tRNA from 1 species